ACUCGAGUGGCGAACGGGUGAGUAACACGUGGGUGAUCUGCCCUGCACUUCGGGAUAAGCCUGGGAAACUGGGUCUAAUACCGGAUAGGAGCCAUUUUUAGUGUGAUGGUUGGAAAGUUUUUCGGUGUAGGAUGAGCUCGCGGCCUAUCAGCUUGUUGGUGGGGUAAUGGCCUACCAAGGCGGCGACGGGUAGCCGGCCUGAGAGGGUGGACGGCCACAUUGGGACUGAGGUACGGCCCAG
rnacentral:rRNA from 1 species